rnacentral:rRNA from 1 species
AUUCCAGCUCCAGUAGCGUAUAUUAAAGUUGUUGCAGUUAAAAAGCUCGUAGUUGGAUUUCUGAUAGUAGCGUCGGGCCCGCCCGGGUUACCGGUGUGAGUGCCUGUUCGCUCCUUUCAUCCUUCUAGAGAACGGUUCUCUCCUUCAUUGGCAGUGGGAUCGCAAUCUAGAUCUUUUACUUUGAAAAAAUUAGAGUGUUUAAAGCAGGCUUGUGCUAUGAAUACAUUAGCAUGGAAUAAUAAUUUAGGACUUUAGUUCUAUUUUGUUGGCUUCUAGAACUGAAGUAAUGAUUGAUAGGGAUAGUUGGGGGUGCUAGUAUUCAGCGGCCAGAGGUGAAAUUCUUGGAUUCGCUGAAGACUAACUUAUGCGAAAGCAUUCACCAAGGAUGUCUUCAUUA